rnacentral:rRNA from 1 species
UACGUAGGGCGCAAGCGUUAUCCGGAAUUAUUGGGCGUAAAGAGCUCGUAGGCGGUUUGUCGCGUCUGCCGUGAAAGUCCGGGGCUCAACUCCGGAUCUGCGGUGGGUACGGGCAGACUAGAGUGAUGUAGGGGAGACUGGAAUUCCUGGUGUAGCGGUGAAAUGCGCAGAUAUCAGGAGGAACACCGAUGGCGAAGGCAGGUCUCGUGGGCAUUAACU